CGCUUGCUGAAUUUCGAGUCCCAUUCCUCUCCUCUCCUUUUACUCUCCUCGGGCAAGGGGUCAGCUCAGAUCUUUAGGGGAGCGAGAUAAGGAGAAGAUGGGUAGUCCUGCCAUUGGCCAGCAGAGCAGAAUACGCUUUUGCCUCCCUCAAGGUCCAGUGCAAGUCUCAUCAUCAUGAAGCCUUCUCUGAUUAUUCCAGCAGAAUGAUCCCUUCUUUCUUCAAGUAAGGUGUAUUCUUUGUAUAUUCCAAUCACGUAUUGCCUUUUAAAAUUUUGUCUGCUUCUCUGUGACUCUGGGCAAUACACUUCAUCUCCUUAAUUUCUCGCAACUUUAGGCAACACUCUAAGAUUAAAGUUGGAAGAGAAACUGGUAUAUUUUUUUCACUCAGGAGUAUACCACGACAUACUAAGUUCCUAUUUCUAUUUCUUUUAAGUGAACUUAAUCAACAAAAAUUACAUGUAACCCAAAGCAGAGUGGAAAGAUUCAUGACAGUCAGAAGUGGUCCACAGCAUGUUAAUAGUGAUGAUAUGCAUCAUGAGUAGACAUCAUUAAGGACCACAUAUAAUUGGAAAAGGGGUGGUCUGAUCUUGUUGAGAAAGAGAUUCAGCAGGACAGACACACUGGUAAUAUGGCAACAAGAAGUAAAACAAGAGAAUGAAGAGGUCUUAAGUACCUUGGUA